rnacentral:tRNA from 6 species
GGCGCUUUAGCUCAGUUGGUUAGAGCAUCGGAAUCAUAAUCCGGGUGUCCGGGGUUCGAGUCCCUGAAGCGCCACCA